GAUACUCAAGCAGCCCAAUGUUGUAGCACUGGGCUCUCGCAGCUUGGUAGUGUGGGCUUCCAUGGCUAUGGUGACACGUCUGCACGGAGGGAGGAGAGGUGCGGAGAUGGCGACUCGCUGCAUGGCGCAGGUUGGUCAAUCCGCGACCUUAUCCCGAAGCAGGUAGAGGAGAUUGAGCUGCCCUCUCGGUGGUUAUGGGUUCCAAGAGGUCGUGUGCUGGAGCCACAGCUAGGGUUUCCUGCUCACAAGAGAUUCACAAAUUGGGGGGAGUGCGAGGCGGAUCUGGAAGGCCGCGAGGCGUGGGUAGAUAGCAGAUCGUUUGCUGAGGUUGUACGGGAGGAGGCCACAAAUCCUCGCCCUGAUCAGUGGCAAUCAAACAAGAGGAGGGAUGAGGAGCAGAGGGAUUGGGGGAUCGGGCACCAUGGGAGCGGGAGGAGGAGGAGCUCCGUGGGCGCCUGCUUGGAUAGAAUCAGCGAAGACCCGAAGGAAAAUGGCGGCCGGAUGAGCGUAGAGAGGGGGGUCGCAACUGGCAAGGUGAAAAGGGGAGAGUCUGGCAAGGUGAACAAAGGGAAGGGUUGGAUGUGA
rnacentral:lncRNA from 1 species